rnacentral:rRNA from 1 species
CCUCUUAGGGUUUCCUCUGGGGUAAGUGAUUGCUUCUACACUGUGAAAAUUUGGCUGAGAGACUCAGACUGGUCAUGGGUAGACCUAUCUGGGGUUUGAUCGAUGCCACUCCUGGUUUCAGGAGCACCCUUCAUAAUAAACCUAGAAAUUCAGUAUUAUAAAGUUUAAUAAAAAACAACUUUUAACAAUGGAUCUCUUGGUUCUCGCAUCGAUGAAGAACGUAGCAAAGUGCGAUAACUAGUGUGAAUUGCAUAUUCAGUGAAUCAUCGAGUCUUUGAACGCAGCUUGCACUCUAUGGUUUUUCUAUAGAGUACGCCUGCUUCAGUAUCAUCACAAACCCACACAUAACAUUUGUUUAUGUGGUAAUGGGUCGCAUCGCUGUUUUAUUACAGUGAGCACCUAAAAUGUGUGUGAUUUUCUGUCUGGCUUGCUAGGCAGGAAUAUUACGCUGGUCUCAGGAUCUUUUUCUUUGGUUCGCCCAGGAAGUAAAGUACAAGAGUAUAAUCCAGCAACUUUCAAACUAUGAUCUGAAGUCAGGUGGGAUUACCCGCUGAACUUAAGCAU